rnacentral:pre_miRNA from 1 species
CAACUACUCCCUCUGUCCCAAAUUUCUUGUCUUAUAUUUGUCUAGAUACGGAUGUAUCUAAUACUAAAAUGUGACUUGAUACAUCCAUAUCUAGAGAAAUCUAAGACAAGAAUUUUGGGACGGAGGGAGUACUUU